rnacentral:tRNA from 1 species
UAGGAGCUAGUGUAGACGGAAGCACUGAAGGUUUUGAUCCUUCCAGGUAGGGUUCAAAUCCCUUGUUUCUAG